CGUAGGGCGCAAGCGUUAUCCGGAAUUAUUGGGCGUAAAGAGCUCGUAGGCGGUUUGUCGCGUCUGCCGUGAAAGUCCGGGGCUCAACUCCGGAUCUGCGGUGGGUACGGGCAGACUAGAGUGAUGUAGGGGAGACUGGAAUCCCUGGUGUAGCGGUGAAAUGCGCAGAUAUCAGGAGGAACACCGAUGGCGAAGGCAGGUCUCUGGGCAUUAACUGACGCUGAGGAGCGAAAGCAUGGGGAGCGAACAGGAUUAGAUACCCUGGUAGUCCAUGCCGUAAACGUUGGGCACUAGGUGUGGGGGACAUUCCACGUUUUCCGCGCCGUAGCUAACGCAUUAAGUGCCCCGCCUGGGGAGUACGGCCGCAAGGCUA
rnacentral:rRNA from 1 species